AGCAUCCUGCGGUGUACGUGACUUGUUUAUGUCUUAAACCGAUGUGAAUCAUACGGAAGUCCGAUAUUUAGACACUGACAUCAUGCCCCCGCGUCGGGGAAGAUGGAUGCGUUUGUGAGGACAUCCACCUGCGAGAGCGGGUUUCAAGGCAUAUCGUAGUGACGGCACAGGCGGGACUUUC
rnacentral:other from 1 species